AUUGAACGCUGGCGGCAGGCUUAACACAUGCAAGUCGAGCGGAGAUGAGGUGCUUGCACCUUAUCUUAGCGGCGGACGGGUGAGUAAUGCUUAGGAAUCUGCCUAUUAGUGGGGGACAACAUUCCGAAAGGAAUGCUAAUACCGCAUACGUCCUACGGGAGAAAGCAGGGGAUCUUCGGACCUUGCGCUAAUAGAUGAGCCUAAGUCGGAUUAGCUAGUUGGUGGGGUAAAGGCCUACCAAGGCGACGAUCUGUAGCGGGUCUGAGAGGAUGAUCCGCCACACUGGGACUGAGACACGGCCCAGACUCCUACGGGAGGCAGCAGUGGGGAAUAUUGGACAAUGGGCGGAAGCCUGAUCCAGCCAUGCCGCGUGUGUGAAGAAGGCCUUUUGGUUGUAAAGCACUUUAAGCGAGGAGGAGGCUACCUAGAUUAAUACUCUAGGAUAGUGGACGUUACUCGCAGAAUAAGCACCGGCUAACUCUGUGCCAGCCGCCGCGGUAAAAC
rnacentral:rRNA from 1 species